GACGAACGCUGGCGGCGUGCCUAAUACAUGCAAGUAGAACGCACAGUUUAUACCGUAGCUUGCUACACCAUAAACUGUGAGUUGCGAACGGGUGAGUAACGCGUAGGUAACCUGCCUGGUAGCGGGGGAUAACUAUUGGAAACGAUAGCUAAUACCGCAUAAUAUUGAUUAUUGCAUGAUAAUUGAUUGAAAGAUGCUAUUGCAUCACUACCAGAUGGACCUGCGUUGUAUUAGCUAGUAGGUGAGGUAACGGCUCACCUAGGCGACGAUACAUAGCCGACCUGAGAGGGUGAUCGGCCACACUGGGACUGAGACACGGCCCAGACUCCUACGGGAGGCAGCAGUAGGGAAUCUUCGGCAAUAGACGAAAGUCUGACCGAGCAACGCCGCGUGAGUGAAGAAGGUUUUCGGUUCGUAAAGCUCUGUUGUAAGAGAAGAACGGGUGUGAGAGUGGAAAGUUCACACUGUGACGGUAUCUUACCAGAAAGGGACGGCUAACUACGUG
rnacentral:rRNA from 1 species